ACGCUGGCGGCGUGCCUAAUACAUGCAAGUCGAACGAGAGCGACCGGUGCUUGCACUGGUCAAUCUAGUGGCGAACGGGUGAGUAACACGUGGGUAACCUGCCCAUCAGAGGGGGAUAACAUUCGGAAACGGAUGCUAAAACCGCAUAGGUCUUCGAACCGCAUGGUUUGAAGAGGAAAAGAGGCGCAAGCUUCUGCUGAUGGAUGGACCCGCGGUGCAUUAGCUAGUUGGUGAGGUACGGCUCACCAAGGCCGUGAUGCAUAGCCGACCUGAGAGGGUGAUCGGCCACAUUGGGACUGAGACACGGCCCAAACUCCUACGGGAGGCAGCAGUAGGGAAUCUUCCGCAAUGGACGCAAGUCUGACGGAGCAACGCCGCGUGAGUGAAGAAGGUUUUCGGAUCGUAAAACUCUGUUGUUAGAGAAGAACAAGUGCUAGAGUAACUGUUAGCGCCUUGACGGUAUCUAACCAGAAAGCCACGGCUAACUACGUGCCAGCAGCCGCGGUAAUACGUAGGUGGCAAGCGUUGUCCGGGUUUAUUGGGCGUAAAGCGAGCGCAGGCGGUUUCUUAAGUCUGAUGUGAAAGCCCCCGGCUCAACCGGGGAGGGUCAUUGGAAACUGGGGAACUUGAGUGCAGAAGAGGAGAGUGGAAUUCCAUGUGUAGCGGUGAAAUGCGUAGAUAUAUGGAGGAACACCAGUGGCGAAGGCGACUCUCUGGUCUGUAACUGACGCUGAGGCUCGAAAGCGUGGGUAGCAAACAGGAUUAGAUACCCUGGUAGUCCACGCCGUAAACGAUGAGUGCUAAGUGUUGGAGGGUUUCCGCCCUUCAGUGCUGCAGUUAACGCAUUAAGCACUCCGCCUGGGGAGUACGACCGCAAGGUUGAAACUCAAAGGAAUUGACGGG
rnacentral:rRNA from 1 species